UACGUAGGGUGCGAGCGUUGUCCGGAAUUAUUGGGCGUAAAGGGCUCGUAGGCGGUUCGUCACGUCGGGAGUGAAAACUCGGGGCUUAACCCCGAGCCUGCUUCCGAUACGGGCAGACUAGAGGUAGGCAGGGGAGAGCGGAACUCCUGGUGUAGCGGUGGAAUGCGUAGAUAUCAGGAGGAACACCGGUGGCGAAGGCGGGUCUCUGGGCCGAUACUGACGCUGAGGAGCGAAAGCGUGGGGAGCGAACAGG
rnacentral:rRNA from 1 species